rnacentral:rRNA from 1 species
AUGGAUUCAGUGCCACUCACUGCUGAAGCUAUUGCUUUUACUGAGAAAAAGAUGGACAUGACUCUGGAGGAUAUUAUUAAGAUGUCAAAGAAAAAAGGUCCUGCAGGCAAGAAAGCCCCUAGACAGCAGGUAAAAAAGCGUCCUUUCCAGAAUGGUAAUAGUAAUCAAGGGAAGGCAAAGGUUCAGCGAUUUCAUGAGUCUAGAUCAUCUAUACGACAAGGUGUUCUGGCACAAAGGAGGUCAAAUCUUGAUGCAAAUCAGUUCCAAAUCACAAAGCAGGCUGCAAACAAGGCUGCUACUAUGCAUGUGCGCGGUAGGGCUGACAGAUGGAACAAACCAAGUGGUCCGUCUACCUCAGCACAGAGGAGGCCCGUAAGCGAGGCUCUUCAGAACAGCAAGGGUAAGGAGAUGCAGAAUGAGCCUCCAAGGACAAUGGAUGCGCUCUUUGCACAGAUGAAGCAGCAGCGGAUGAGGGUCAUGCCACCGCAGCAAUCAAAAGCUCCGACCCAUGUCCAUCAGUUUAACCAGCAGCGGCGUGGUCAGCAGCAGCGGCGAGGCAGAGGGGGAUAUGGUGUCCGCAGCGGUGGUGGUAACCGAUGA